rnacentral:rRNA from 1 species
GAUGAACGCUGGCGGCGUGCCUAAUACAUGCAAGUCGAGCGAACAGAUGAGGAGCUUGCUCCUCUGACGUUAGCGGCGGACGGGUGAGUAACACGUGGAUAACCUACCUAUAAGACUGGGAUAACUUCGGGAAACCGGAGCUACUACCGGAUAAUAUAUUGAACCGCAUGGUUCAAUAGUGAAAGACGGUUUUGCUGUUACUUAUAGACGGAUCCGCGCCGCAUUAGCUAGUUGGUAAGGUAACGGCUUACCAAGGCAACGAUGCGUAGCCGACCUGAGAGGGUGAUCGGCCACACUGGAACUGAGACACGGUCCAGACUCCUACGGGAGGCAGCAGUAGGGAAUCUUCCGCAAUGGGCGAAAGCCUGACGGAGCAACGCCGCGUGAGUGAUGAAGGUCUUCGGAUCGUAAAACUCUGUUAUUAGGGAAGAACAAAUGUGUAAGUAACUAUGCACGUCUUGACGGUACCUAAUCAGAAAGCCACGGCUAACUACGUG